AUUGAACGCUGGCGGCAGGCCUAACACAUGCAAGUCGAGCGAGCGGCGGACGGGUGAGUAAUGUCUGGGAAACUGCCUGAUGGAGGGGGAUAACUACUGGAAACGGUAGCUAAUACCGCAUACCAUCAGAUGUGCCCAGAUGGGAUUGGCUAGUAGGUGGGGUAAUGGCUCACCUAGACGACGAUCCCUAGCUGGUCUGCGAGGAUGACAAGCAACAAUGGAACUGGAAAACGGUCCAGACUCCUAGGGGAGGAGGCAGUGGGGAAUAUUGCACAAUGGGGGCAAGCCGGAUGCAGCCAUGCGCGGUGGGUGAAGAAGGCCUUGGGGUUGUAAAGCACUUUCAGCGGGGAGGCGUUACCCGCAGAAGAAGCACCGGCUAACUCCGUGCCAGCCGCCGCGGUAAUAC
rnacentral:rRNA from 1 species